rnacentral:tRNA from 1 species
GUGGGUGUGGCUUAGUGGCAGAGCACUGGCCUAGUGAGUACAAGGUCCUGGGUUUGAUCCCCAGCACCACA